GUGCUAGGGAUAUGGUAGAGUGCUUGCCUAGUAUGCAUGAGGUCCUGGGUUCAAACCCCAGCACCACA
rnacentral:tRNA from 1 species